GAUGAACGCUGGCGGCGUGCCUAAUACAUGCAAGUCGAGCGAACAGACGAGGAGCUUGCUCCUCUGACGUUAGCGGCGGACGGGUGAGUAACACGUGGAUAACCUACCUAUAAGACUGGGAUAACUUCGGGAAACCGGAGCUAAUACCGGAUAAUAUAUUGAACCGCAUGGUUCAAUAGUGAAAGACGGUUUUGCUGUCACUUAUAGAUGGAUCCGCGCCGCAUUAGCUAGUUGGUAAGGUAACGGCUUACCAAGGCAACGAUGCGUAGCCGACCUGAGAGGUUGAUCGGCCACACUGGAACUGAGACACGGUCCAGACUCCUACGGGAGGCAGCAGUGGGGAAUCUUCCGCAAUGGGCGAAAGCUUGACGGAGCAACGCCGCGUGAGUGAUGAAGGUCUUCGGAUCGUAAAACUCUGUUAUUAGGGAAGAACAAAUGUGUAAGUAACUAUGCACGUCUUGACGGUACCUAAUCAGAAAGCCACGGCUAACUACGUG
rnacentral:rRNA from 1 species